rnacentral:rRNA from 1 species
ACGGGGGGUGCAAGCGUUGUUCGGAAUCAUUGGGCGUAAAGAGCGUGUAGGCGGCUAGGCAAGUCAGAUGUGAAAUCCCUGGGCUUAACCCAGGACGUGCAUUUGAAACUGCUUAGCUUGAGUAAGGAAGAGGGAAGUGGAAUUCCUGGUGUAGAGGUGAAAUUCGUAGAUAUCAGGAGGAACACCGGUGGCGAAGGCGACUUCCUGGUCCUAUACUGACGCUGAGACGCGAGAGCGUGGGGAGCAAACAG